GCCUUUUCUGUGAUCUACGUGGCCAUCACCGCCGGACCUCUGCGACUGUAUCCGUCUUAAUGAAGGUUUGUUUCCACAAGUUAGCUAACAUUACUAAGUUUGUACACAUGUAGAAGAAUGGCUUCUCCCAGAUGUCUCACAAGUCCUCCUGGAUGGCAGAGACAUUUUCAAGAAGACUUCCACUCCUGGUAAAGUCAAGGACAUUACACAGCAGCCAGUGAUCUUCAUCCUGACACUGCCAACACUCGCCUCCAACUAAAAGAUCCCAGGAUUUUUGCAUUCUACGAGGAGAGUGGGAGAGCGGCCGUGCCAGCAACUUGAGGGUUCCAGGUUCGAUCCCCGCUUCCGCCAUCCUAGUCACUGCCGUCGUGUCAUUGGGCAAGACGCUUUACCCACCUGCUCCCAGUGCCACCCACACUGCUUUAAAUGCAACUUACAUAUUGGCUUUCACUAUGUAAAGCGCUUUGAGUCACUAGAGAAAAAGCGCUAUAUAAUUGACUUCACUUACAUAAAAAUGGAGAAGGGUACUGGUAACAACUGCCGUCAGUUGUAAGUAGACAUUUGUCACUUAUUUUGAAGUACAGGACGUCUAAUGUUAUGCCCAAUGUUAAUGUGUCCUUUUUCUUCUUCAUGAUGUUUUUCCUCAGUUAUCCAGUAAGUGCGGACAAAACUUCUCGCCAGAACCAUGUGACACUUUACCCGUCACUUAACAUCAACAUGGAGGAUGAAAAUAAGGAUAUGUAAGGGAAUGUUAAGAGUGAGAAACACACAUUACUUGGAUUGAUUCUGACAGUAGCUCAUUAGAUCCCAGUUUUAUUUGUGUUGUAAAGGAACACGUCUAUGAUCCAACAUGCCACGCUGGCUUUCUGGAAGGUAAGCUGAGGAAUAUCCGCCAAACGAAGGGAUGAUCGGCGCCGUUAUUGCAGAAGGGGUGGCUCAUCUGAAGUCACUGUUGGACUUGAAGAAGUUACAGAAAGUGAUGAGUCUGUCCAAGAAUGGAUAACUGUGAUCAUAAGGAUGAAGCCUAGUCCGGAGAACCUUUCUUCCAUCAAGAUGGAGAUUGUUGAGAACUACCCUCGUUUCAUUGAUAUAUCAUAUCUGAUCGACAGUUUGAGAAGAUGUUUCCAUACAAGACAGACAUCUUUCUACACAAAUGGGACCAAAGUUGUUGAAGCUGGCUGCUCUUGAAGGAAAAGAUGAACCACCAGAAGCUGAGAGUGCUGAAUGAAGGUGCUGUAGAGCACUGAAGAUGCUCACACAUGAUCUGCCCCCUACUGGGUCAAGAAGAUCUAUGGGAUGGACAAAAUGCAGCAUCAAAUCAGUGCUGUCCUACAUUAAACAACCAGGAAGAAGCUUCCAUGACCUUCUACAAACCACUGACCCUGCUCCAGUGAUGCAACCUGGUCUGGUGAGCAUUGGACAUUGCAGCACAACAUCAACACAAUAUGUCCUCGUGGCUGCCCAUGUCAUUCCACUCCAGGAAGAGGGUCUCACCUGCAGUCUGGACUAACUCUUCAAAUUGUAUUGGGCUUGUAACCUUGCCUGCUUGGUAAAGUAGGAGUUGUUGAUUGAAAAAAUGGCAGCCUGUGGACAUAAGUUGAACAACUUAUUGGGGUGUUACCAUUUAGUGGUCAAUUGUAUGUAAUAUGUACUUCACUGUGCAAUCUACUAAUAAAGUUUCAAUCAAUGAUUGAAACAU